rnacentral:rRNA from 1 species
CAGCAGCCACGGGAAUACGAAGGGUGCAAGCGUUGCUCGGAAUUACUGGGCGUAAAGCGUGUGUAGGUGGUUGUUUAAGUCUGUCGUGAAAGCCCUGGGCUCAACCUGGGAAUUGCGAUGGAUACUGGGCGACUAGAGUGCGGUAGAGGAUAGUGGAAUUUCCGGUGUAGCAGUGAAAUGCGUAGAGAUCGGAAGGAACAUCUGUGGCGAAGGCGACUAUCUGGGCCAACACUGACACUGAGACACGAAAGCGUGGGGAGCAAACAGGAUUAGAUACCCGUGUAGUCCCUGUCUCUUAUAC